AGGGGCGGGAGCGGCAGGGACACAACUUUACACGCAUUCUGGAGGUGUUCGCAUGCGCAAGGGUGGCGCAGACGCUCUCGGGUUACCCCAUAUCCGCCUGAGAGGGAGUGUCGCCAGAGGGGGCGCUGUAUCCCGCAUGCGUGCAAGCUGUUGCGUUCCUGAGGGCUUGGGAGCGGUCGAAGUCGUGGUCUUAGUUCCGUGAGGCGCAGGCCGUGUUGCCCAAAGGAGACAGCACGACAGGUGCUUCUGAAUCGGGAAAUGAAAGUGCUGCAGACUGGGGACAUAUUGAAGGAACCGAGAAGCUCAGAGCAAUUGUAAAGAGCAGUAGAAUGAGUCUCCUCCCCCAACUCUAAGCAAUUCCACAGCGUUAUGAGCAGUAAAUUAAGAUGAAGUCGGGGAAAGGUGUUCCUCAGAAGACAGCGCAGUCUGAACUUCGGUUUAACGUGAAUCUGAUGUACUGGCAGAAAACAAGGAAACGUGGCAUUGAAGAGCAACAGAAAAUGGACAAUUUCCGAUAUGGGAAGAUGUAGAUCCACUUGAAGAUCAUGAGCCAGAAGGAAAUGAAGUCUAGUGAAUUCUGAGAGAACAGAACAAUUGAUAACCAUCAUGAAGUGGUAUUAAAAGGAGGAAAAAAGUCACCUCAUAUCGAAACUGAAGCAGAUGACAUUAUUCUACAUAUUAAGGAGAACAUGCAACAUUUGUCAGAGUUUGCCUUAUUUUGCUCGACGUGAUCUCCAGAUCCAUCUAUUCUCCUGAAAAUGACAAAAUUUUGUUCUUCUUUAUGAAUGAACUCUACUG
ensembl:lncRNA